rnacentral:lncRNA from 1 species
CUUGGAUAAUGAACUAAAAAUUCAGUCUUGUGAAUUUUAAGUCUGUACCUUUAACAUGAAAUUCACUUAAACUGUUGUGAAGAGUGUUGGAGGCAGAGGGAAGAGAAAGGAACAUCUGAGCUCCAAUCCUGUUUUUCAGAGAGACACAUCAGCACAUAGGUCUGUUCAUGCCAAAGUGAACUUGACACCUUUUCCUCUGGCCUGAGGUUGCAUGGUAGAUGAUGUUCUGCAAGAUCUAACUCUUCAAGAUGGAACCCUGAGUCUGAGCUCUUCUUGUGUAUGGACAGUUCACAAUGAUUGUGUGAACACAACUGAUGAAUGUGUACCUAACAAAGGUCUCCAGUGUCAUUAUCAUACAUGGAGAGAUCACCAAAGCAGAAAAGAACUUGCAACUUAUGUUCUUGUGAAUGAGAGGAGCAAACAAAGAGGUGAGUGGUCUGACUGAUGUCAUGAAGUUUUGCAGAUCCUGUGUAGGGAUAUCCUUGGAUCUCAUGCUGGUUCUCAUGGUAUCCUUUGAUUUAGAGCUUACUCCUGUGCAGAUCCCUUAGUUACAAUGUGAGGUCAGAAUAUGAUCCUUUGCAGAUAGAUCAG